UCUCUGUUAGUAUAUCGGUUAGUACACGCGCCUGUCAUAUCCAAUUGACCGCGCGAAAGCGGGGUUCGACUCCCCGACAGAGAG